CCCAAAGGCCAAAGCCCGCCUGCCGCCAUGCCCGCCAGGGUCGCCGCCGAGAUCGCCGCGCUCCCGGAGCCGCGGGGCCCCCUGCGCCGCCUCUCCGCCGACCUCGCCCGCCGCGUCCGCCUCCUCGCCCCGCUCCUCGACGAACCCUCCUCCUCCCCCGACUCUUCCUCUCCCUCCUACCCUCUCCUCGCCGACGCCCUCCGAGCCGCGCGCGACCUCCUCCAAGACGUCCACCAUGGGAGCAAGAUCUACCAGGCUAUGCGAGGGGGGGAUGGUCUUCUCCACAGAUUCGCCGGCGUCAACAGGCAGAUUCAGGUGGCGCUGGACCAAUUGCCCUACCAGACCUUCGAUAUGCCCGAGGAAGUGCAAGAGCAGGUUGCACUUGUGCAUUCCCAGUUCAAGAGAGCGGCAGCGAGAACCGAUUCGCCCGACACGCAGCUCUCGAGGGAUCUGGAUGCGGCUCUCAGCGACAAGGCCUGCGACGCCGAGCUUCUGACUAGGAUCUCGGAGAAGCUGCAGCUCGAGACCAUGGCAGACAUGAAGAAAGAAUCAGUGGCCCUGCAUGAGAUGGUCAUUUCCAGCGGCGGCGAACCCGAUGGCUCUCUCGACCAGAUGUCCUUCUUGCUCAAGAAGCUCAAAGACUGUGUGAUAGCUCAAGCUCCCGCAUCCGACACUCUCGGUGGCAGGUCUUCCUCUGUAAAGCAUCGGUCUCCGAUCAUCCCGGAUGAAUUCAGAUGCCCCAUUUCGCUUGAGCUGAUGCAAGACCCCGUCAUUGUCUCUAGCGGCCAGACGUACGAGAGAUCCUGUAUCCAAAAGUGGCUUGAUUCUGGGCACAAAACCUGCCCUAAGAUGCAGGUGCCACUGUCACAUACUUCGCUCACACCAAACUUUGUCCUCAAAAGCCUGAUAGCACAGUGGUGUGAAGCCAACGGCAUCGAGCUUCCCAAGAACAAAGCCAAUUGCCGUGAUAAGAAAGCAGUGAAAAGUUCUGACUAUGACAAUGCUGGUCUCGUCUCGCUAAUGAAUAGGCUGCGCAGCGGGAACCAAGACGAGCAAAGGGCAGCUGCAGGGGAGAUACGGUUGCUUGCAAAGAGAAACGUGAACAACCGGAUAUGCAUUGCUGAAGCAGGAGCAAUUCCAUUGUUGGUCAAUCUACUCUCCUCUUCGGAUCCAAGAACGCAGGAACACGCCGUCACGGCACUCCUUAACCUCUCCAUCCACGAGAACAACAAGGCAAGCAUUGUGGACUCCAAUGCUAUCCCUAAGAUCGUGGAAGUGCUGAAAACUGGGAGCAUGGAAGCCAGAGAGAAUGCAGCAGCCACACUAUUUAGCCUGUCAGUUGUUGAUGAAAACAAAGUAACGAUUGGCGCUGCUGGUGCGAUACCUCCACUUAUCAAUCUUCUGUGUGACGGGAGCCCAAGAGGCAAGAAAGAUGCAGCAACGGCAAUUUUUAAUCUGUGCAUAUAUCAGGGCAAUAAGGUCCGGGCAGUGAAAGCUGGAAUCAUCAUCCAUCUGAUGAACUUCUUGGUGGAUCCUACUGGGGGAAUGCUUGAUGAGGCUCUCACUCUUCUGGCAAUUCUUGCCGGUAACCCAGAAGGCAAGGCUGUAAUUACGCAAUCAGAGCCAAUUCCUCCACUCGUGGAGGUUAUCAGAACUGGGUCUCCUCGGAAUAGGGAGAACGCUGCAGCCAUUCUAUGGUCUCUCUGUUCUGCUGAUUCUGAGCAAACCAUGGCUGCAAGGGCAGCUGGAGGGGAAGAUGCACUGAAGGAGCUGUCAGAGACCGGCACAGAUCGUGCAAAAAGGAAAGCUUCUAGCAUCCUUGAACUCAUGCGCCAAGCACAAGAGGCAUGACCCAGAGUGCCAGACAACAUAUAUCUGUCGAAAUCCGAGGUCUCAUGCAUGAAAAUCAUUCCCGUUUUGCUUGUAGAACAGGAAAAUUUUCUUUAGAAGCAAAAGUGAAACAGGAAGUUGUGUUCCCUUUUGGCAGCUCUGUGCUUCCGGGUAAUGUUUCUGGUGGCUUCAUUCUGAAUGACACAGCUAACAUCUAAUCCUUACACCUAAACAAGUAAGCAAGUUGGGUUGAAGAGAUUUAAAUGCUGGCCUGGUAGUAGUGUUCAACUUUGUCCUUUGACUCCAACAGCGUGUACCUAAUCAAGAUUCGUGUACUUGUUACAACCAGAACAUGCAUUGUGAUAUUAUUCUAUCUUCACAUGUGAUGUUAACUACUGCUAAUUCCAGCCUAGCUAGGUGAACUCUAUUGGCUCUGCGCAUCAUGUUGCUACAAUUGUAUUAAUAGAUGCUAGUAUACUAAUUAAUAUCUUGGCUAUGUUAUUUGCUACCAGAGGGGGAUCUGGAUAGGUUUCAGUUGAGAGAAUAAGAUAUGCAUUUGAGCAGACCGUACGAUUCGGAAAUCAACGACCAAGAUCAAAUCCAGUUUGGUUAGAACUUGUGAGAGAUCUGUGGUGGGAAGGGAAGUGGUCUAUGCAUAUUUGAUCAGGAGCGUUGGUUCAUUUUCAAUGUUUGAUCUCGAGCGUUGAUUACCUGCCGAGACUAGCUAUGUUUGUCAUUUUGUUUGCAGUGUUUCCCCUAUAAAGACCACUAAUAUAGGGGGAGUGAGAGCUGUACGUGCUACAGCUAAGCAAGGCUCAGCCAUCAGGUGACGUACAUCAUCUGAGAAGAAGAAUGGGGCACAUUGCUGAUCCUGCCGGCGCUGUAGUCGUGGGUUGCAAAGUGCUGCCUAUCUUCCACGAGAAUGGCAUCGUUGAUGGUGCGAUGAGGAAGAUUGCACACAGGAUCGACGGGAAGAAGGCGGUCGCUCGGGUGAAGGAGCUCCUCAAGUGGGCUACUCAGGCUAGGCCAUACAGCACUAGCGUCGGUGGCAAGAAAUGGAAGAAGGUCCUGAGCUUCCAAGCUGGUGAUGGUGCUGUGACAAAGUGUGACGAGAUGAGCUCCGUGUCCGGUAACCAGAGCUUCAAGUGGGACGUGGGCAGCUGCUCGUCGGCGUCCUCAGUACCGUACUCGCCGCUGUCGUUCGCGUCGGCGCUGGCGGCAGCAGCGAAGACGGAGCAUUAUACACCGUCGAGGAACUACGCGUCAAGGCUGUCGUCGGUGAGCCAGAAGAGCUCGUCGUCGGAGGCCUGCAGGAUGGGGCAGUGGAUCACCUCAGAUUCAGACUUCGUGGUGCUGGAGCUGUAAGCAAGUGGUAAGAUGGAGGCGGCAGCAGCAGCAGCAUAUACAUGCGAGUUGAGGAAGAAGAAUUAAUGCUGAACAUGAGUUGCAGGAAGAAGGCAAGCAUUCGAUUCAUUCGAGAGACAAUUAAGGCAGGGCAAGCAUGCAUGUAGUAUGAUGGAGGAGUUAGCAAGAAGGCAUGCAGUUGAUGAUGUUUGGAUGAAUUUAAUUGACUCAAAUUAAUGUACUAGUUAUGUUGUGGAUGGAUGAGUAAGAAGUAAUAGUGUAGUUGUAAUAAUUAGUGGAUUGAUUUUUUGUAGCAGCAGUAAUAAGCAUAUGAAGCAUGCAGUUGCAGCAGAGGUCUAGUAACAGUUGGUGGUGAAAGUUUCAAGUAGAGUGUGUAUAUAUGCUGGCAGUGGGUUUUAAGUAGACUUUGAAGAUGACUAGUGGCUAAAUAAUAAUGUAAAUGCAUGUGGGGUGGUUGCAUGU